GAACGGGUGAGUAACACGUGGGUGAUCUGCCCUGCACUUUGGGAUAAGCCUGGGAAACUGGGUCUAAUACCGAAUAGGACCACGCGCUUCAUGGUGUGUGGUGGAAAGCUUUUGCGGUGUGGGAUGGGCCCGCGGCCUAUCAGCUUGUUGGUGGGGUAAUGGCCUACCAAGGCGACGACGGGUAGCCGGCCUGAGAGGGUGACCGGCCACACUGGGACUGAGAUACGGCCCAGACUCCUACGGGAGGCAGCAGUGGGGAAUAUUGCACAAUGGGCGCAAGCCUGAUGCAGCGACGCCGCGUGAGGGAUGACGGCCUUCGGGUCGUAAACCUCUUUCAAUAGGGACGAAGCGCAAGUGACGGUACCUAUAGAAGAAGCACCGGCCAACUACGUGCCAGCAGCCGCGGUAAUACGUAGGGUGCGAGCGUUGUCCGGAAUUACUGGGCGUAAAGAGCUCGUAGGUGGUUUGUCGCGUUGUUCGUGAAAACUCACAGCUUAACUGUGGGCGUGCGGGCGAUACGGGCAGACUAGAGUACUGCAGGGGAGACUGGAAUUCCUGGUGUAGCGGUGGAAUGCGCAGAUAUCAGGAGGAACACCGGUGGCGAAGGCGGGUCUCUGGGCAGUAACUGACGCUGAGGAGCGAAAGCGUGGGGAGCGAACAGGAUUAGAUACCCUGGUAGUCCACGCUGUAAACGGUGGGUACUAGGUGUGGGUUCCUUCCUUGGGAUCCGUGCCGUAGCUAACGCAUUAAGUACCCCGCCUGGGGAGUACGGCCGCAAGGCUAAAACUCAAA
rnacentral:rRNA from 1 species